rnacentral:rRNA from 1 species
UACGUAGGGGGCAAGCGUUGUCCGGAAUCAUUGGGCGUAAAGCGCGUGUAGGCGGCUCGAUAAGUCCGCUCUGAAAGUCCAGGGCUCAACCCUGGGAUGCGGGUGGAUACUGUCGGGCUCGAGUCCGGAAGAGGCGAGUGGAAUUCCUGGUGUAGCGGUGAAAUGCGCAGAUAUCAGGAGGAACACCAAUGGCGAAGGCAGCUCGCUGGGACGUGACUGACGCUGAGACGCGAAAGCGUGGGUAGCGAAUGGG